CAAUCACCAAUCACCCAUCAAGCUGUGUUCUGAGAGUGCUCAGAGAGAGGUGAGGAGCAGCGUGAUCAGACAGAACACAAAGCAGAGCGAUGUGAAGACCCACGUCGGGUGAAGAUAUCCUCACUCCCUCUCCCACUGAGCUCAAUAAACCAGUUUGUUCCUCUACACCGAGCGUCCUGCUCUGACCGGCCCGCCUCAUGUUUUGGAACUGCCACACUGUUCUCCGCGUUAUGGGGCGACUUUACCUCCCUUGGCCUUAACUCGAGGACCCUAUACACAUCGUGUUUUUCCGUGCCGCUGUGUUUUGCCGCUGGCCGGUUGGCCACCGAGGGAAACUCCCCCCGGAUGAGGAGACGGCAAACAUCCCCUCAGCCCCCCCGUCCCGGGUGUGACUCACAGAGCGAGGUGUGGACCCAGAGGGCCCCGUCCUGGUGGUGAUGAGUUGUUUGUUCCAGAACAAACAACCAAAGGAUUGUGGAGCUCAAGAAGACAACGAAGAAGAAGAAGAAGAAGAAGAGUUUGGAACUUCAGGCUGGUGGAAGAGGCAAGGUAAGUCACGCUAGGCUGGCCCGCGGCGUGUUCGCUAUCGCUCUUUCUUCCUUCCUCUCACUCCCCGCCUGCACCUCAGACGGUGUCUGUCAGCAGCAGCAGAGACAGCCGCUGAGGCCCGCUAAAGCC
ensembl:lncRNA